AGCGAACGCUGGCGGCAGGCCUAACACAUGCAAGUCGAACGAACCCUUCGGGGUUAGUGGCGGACGGGUGAGUAACACGUGGGAACGUGCCCUUAGGUUCGGAAUAACUCAGGGAAACUUGUGCUAAUACCGAAUGUGCCCUUCGGGGGAAAGAUUUCUCGCCUUUAGAGCGGCCCGCGUCUGAUUAGCUAGUUGGUGAGGUAAUGGCUCACCAAUGCUACGAUCAGUAGCUGUUCUGAGAGGAUGACCAGCCACAUUGAGACUGAGACACGGCCCAAACUCCUACGGUAGGCAGCAGUGGGGAAUCUUGCGCAAUGGGCGAAAGCCUGACGCAGCCAUGCCGCGUGGAUGAUGAAGGUCUUAGGAUUGUAAGAUCCUUUCACCGGUGAAGAUAAUGACUGUAGCCGGAGAAGAAGCCCCGGCUAACUUCGUGGCAGCAGCCGCUGUAAAAC
rnacentral:rRNA from 1 species